CCUACGGGAGGCAGCAGUGGGGAAUAUUGCACAAUGGGGGAAACCCUGAUGCAGCGAAGUCGCGUGAGUGAUGAAGUAACUCUUUAUGUUAAGCUCCAUCAGCAGGGAAGCAAAAGACGGUACCUGAGCAAGAAGCCCUGUCUACCUACAUGCCACCAGCCGCGUCAAUACGUAGGGGGCAAGCGUUAUCCGGAUUUACUGGGUGUAAAGGGAGUGUAGACGGUAUUGCAAGUCUGGGGUGAAAGGCUGGGGCGCAACCCCCGAACUGCACUGGAAACUGGAGGGCUGGAGUGCAGGAAGGGUAAGUGGAAUUCGUAGUGUAGCGGGGAAAUGCGUAGAUAUUAGGAGGAACACCAGUGGCGAAGGCGGGUUACUGGACUGUAACUGACGUUGAGGCUCGAAAGCGUGGGGAGCAAACAGGAUUAGAUACCCUUGUAGUC
rnacentral:rRNA from 1 species